rnacentral:tRNA from 1 species
CCGAUUUUAGCUCAGUGGUAGAGCAGCUGACUGUAGUUUGUACAAAAAGUCAUCAGCUGGUCGCUAGUUCAAUCCUGGCAAAUCGGA